GCCCCGGUAGCUCAGCCCGGUUAGAGCGGCGGGCUGCAGACCCGUAGGUCCCGGGUUCAAAUCCCGGCCGGGGCUCCA
rnacentral:tRNA from 3 species